rnacentral:tRNA from 1 species
GCCAUGGUGGCGGAACUGGUAUACGCGCGCGACUCAAAAUCGCGUUCCCGAAAGGGAUUGUGGGUUCAAGUCCCACCCAUGGCA